GACGAACGCUGGCGGCGGGCCUAAUACAUGCAAGUCGAACGCAGUGGGGACGGGUGAGUAACCCGUGGGUAACCUCCCAUCAGAGGGGAGAACACUUGGAAACAGGUGCUAAACCGAUACUGAUGGAUGGUCCCGCGUGGCAUUAGCUAGGUGGUGAGGUAACGGCUCACCAAGGCCACGAUGCAUAGCCGACCUGAGAGGGUGAUCGGCCACACUGGAACUGAGACACGGCCCAGACUCCUACGGGAGGCAGCAGUGGGGAAUCUUCGGCAAUGGACGAAAGUCUGACCCAGCCACGCCGCGUGAGUGAAGAAGGUUUUCGGAUCGUAAAACUCUGUUGUUAGAGAAGCGGUAUCUAACCAGAAAGCAACGGCUAACUACGUGCCAGCCGCCGCGGUAAUAC
rnacentral:rRNA from 1 species